rnacentral:tRNA from 8 species
GCGCCCAUAGCUCAGUUGGUAGAGCAACUGACUUUUAAUCAGUAGGUCACAGGUUCGAAUCCUGUUGGGCGUACCA